UCCUUAAAGCUCAACAGGGUUCGGUGCCCUUUUGGGGCAUAAAGAGCGUCCGUGACGUGGAUCAUAGUGCCAUGAGGCAGAAAAAAGCGAGCGGUUCCACGCCCGAGGAUCACAGGGGAAGAUCCAAUCAUUGUCGUCAUAGAUGAUUUACAAGGCACUAACUCAAGAAAUAGUUGCCGGUUCCUUAGAAUUGUGUGGGUUGAUCCACUAUCUGCGAGGCACUCGAUCUCUCCAAGAGACAUACUUACAAAAGAGAGUAGAUAUAUGAGUAAAUAGGUCGAUAUCGAGCUAUUUAGAAUGAUUGAAAAAGCUAAAAGUAGCAACAAUCCCGAGAGUGCUAAAAAUUUCUCGCGCAGAAUGACUUUUCCGCGCUAAAACAGUCAUAACUCCUUCGUUAAAAUAGAUAUGGAUGAACCGCAAAAUGUUCUGAAAACUAGACUCGUAGAGCUUUCUAAUGAUAUAAAGCUCACUGUCUGGUUCGUCCGGAGCUGUUCACAAAGCUCAAACGAAGUGACUGUCCAGGGAGGACAGAUUACUGUUUUUUCGCAGAUUUGGCAUUAGCAAAGUUUUUGAAGCUUGCUGGUGGCAUGGAGACGAAAACUCAGCCACAGGGACGUGUUGAUGAUCAAAGAACCUAGGGGAUUCGAUGAUGGUCCGGUUUUGUCAAGUCUUUAACGUCUUUUACAAUACGGCAAUUGGAGUAAUAGCGUAGAGGGAAUCCAAAAUCAAAAGCUUUCGGUAACUCCAAAUUAAGUAUGACCAGGCAUGUCCGUGGAGGGUCGGUAGUGCGAGGCACACUUAAACCACUAGCUCCUUAAUUUCGGACAAUUCUAAGACAUCAUACUAACUUGGAUGAGCCUAGUUGAACAAUUGAUGAUGGAAAAUCCGCUAUAGGUAAAAGACUUGAACCGGAAAACACGUGAGUAACUCUCCUUGAGAGUCACGGCGCCGUAUGUCACCUCCUUUAAGGGAGAGACCGAAGACGGCGUUGAUGCCAUGUUUUCUAAGAUAGAUGUAAAUCAAUUCGAACCAUGUAGAGACAAGAAG
rnacentral:lncRNA from 1 species